GUAAGUAAACUGGCAGGCUAAAGGGACGCAGCCAGUAAUAUAGAAGGGCAAAGGACUAUAGCAAUUUCAUCCCUUAUCCCGAAAGAGUUGAUGGAACCGGAAGACUGACGCCAUCUGAAGACACCUCUCCUUAGGGGAAAAGACGCCACCGCAAGACGGCAGCGCCGAGCUGGCACCCCCAAAUGGGGAAUUGUGAUGCAAAUCUAGGCCUAAGACAAAAGGGACCAAGGGUCGCUGACCAGUAGGAAAACCUCCAAGGAAGUACCCCCCCAACUUUCAAGGGAUGAGGGGGCGAACGCCAAAAGCAUGGGUGGCCCUUCUUCACCGACUGAGAGUCUUACGAGGUGGAUGUGCUGUCCUCUGUCCGCCUCUUCCGAGAGGCAACUCUCUCUCCCUUACAAAGGGGACGAAAGUACUUUUGCUGAACUUCCACAUAUGGUUACAAACCGUAGUACACCAUUCCACUCCAGGGAAGUCCCUUACAGCUUCAAGCUUCAGCGGUUAACCAUGGUUAACCUA